GAGUUUGAUCAUGGCUCAGAUUGAACGCUGGCGGCAGGCCUAACACAUGCAAGUCGAGCGGUAGAGAGAAGCUUGCUUCUCUUGAGAGCGGCGGACGGGUGAGUAAUGCCUAGGAAUCUGCCUGGUAGUGGGGGAUAACGCUCGGAAACGGACGCUAAUACCGCAUACGUCCUACGGGAGAAAGCAGGGGACCUUCGGGCCUUGCGCUAUCAGAUGAGCCUAGGUCGGAUUAGCUAGUUGGUGAGGUAAUGGCUCACCAAGGCGACGAUCCGUAACUGGUCUGAGAGGAUGAUCAGUCACACUGGAACUGAGACACGGUCCAGACUCCUACGGGAGGCAGCAGUGGGGAAUAUUGGACAAUGGGCGAAAGCCUGAUCCAGCCAUGCCGCGUGUGUGAGAAGGUCUUCGGAUUGUAAAGCACUUUAAGUUGGGAGGAAGGGCAGUAAAUUAAUACUUUGCUGUUUUGACGUUACCGUACAGAAUAAGCACCGGCUAACUCUGUGCCAG
rnacentral:rRNA from 1 species